UGUGGGUUGUUGAAGGGUGAGAGAGCAGGGGGAGAAGCUUAAUUGCAUAACAGAAAGACAAAAAUUUAUGGAUUCUGUCCUAAAAUAAAGAUUCAUUUCUUGUCACAAAUAUUCAAUUGAAAUUUACCAUACCUCCAUGGAUUGAGAUCAUUUCUAUCGUACACUUCCACAAUGAUAGUAUUUUUCCAGAAUUGGCAUCAUAUAGAUUGAAAAUUAAUUGCUAGAACUGUAGUUCUAUCCAUUACUAUUGCACUUCCAGCAUAUUGCUUCACAGUAGCAGAAGCAGCCAAACAAUGGGGAAAUAAUCGGUUGAGAGAUGUCAAUUUAAUGAAAAAGAAAAUAAAAUAGGUCAAAUAACAUCACAAAAAAAAAAAAAUUCAUGAUAAGUGGCCAACCCAGGAACUGGUGCAGUACUCCUUGUGAGGCGCAAUUUGCAUAAUUUUACAUGAAAAUGAUAAAGUUUCAUUGGCAUAGAUGGAGAGAACAUGUCUAUUGGACCUAUGACCAUUUUUUUUGGUUCUAUGAAGAAGAAAGGUACAUGUAUACAAUCACAUCCACAUCCAAAUGCACAUGCAAUCAUAUAAAAGCACACAUGCCUAUACAGCCCUUUAAGAAUGUCAAAAUGAGAUAUAAUAUGCUGGCAAAAUUACCCCAUUAAUACUUAGCAGAAGUACUUAUGCUGAUACUCAAAGUAUUGUUCUAUUCUUUUGAUCUUAAUGCGUGACAAUAUAGGUGAACAGGCCCAUGGAAAAUCAACUUUUUCUCUUCUGCAUGCAGUGGCAGAUGCACGACAGAAAAUUAGGGGUCAAUUCUUGUUUGAAUUUGGCUAGUUUUUUCUCUCAUUCUGACAUUAAAAAAUUGAUCAAAUUAGCUUAAUUUUAUGCUACUCAGUUUUAGAUAUUUAGCUCCCAAGUCCCAACACUUGAAAAUUAAAUUGAAAAUUUUAUUUUUAACAUUUGUAUUUUUUUUUGGUUGACCCCAGAGAAAAAGAAAAUCUGGAUCCGCCACUGUCUGCAUGAGGUGAUAAAACUUUAGUUGCUAUCAUAUCUUUUGUUUGAAACAACAAUAUAGUACUAUGCUUUGCUAUAUUUGCAAAGACCUCUCCAAUCCAAAUUUGUUGAAAUAAUGAUGACAGAAAUGAAAGGACAACAUGGGAGGGAAUGCUAACAGUUGAGGCUAAUCUCUUCUCAAUUCUAGUAUGGAUUCAGUUAUUGAUGAUUACACAGAAGAAGUUUCUAGGAAUUUUUUUAGCUUCAUGGUAAGAAACAUUUUCACACCACACCCAAUCAAAAGAAUUAUGCAUCCAACAAGGUCACUAAGGAACCAACUUCUCCAAAUAAAAGUAAUCCCCACCAUCUCCAUGAAUAAAUGCACACAAUAUAAAUCAUAACUAGGUAGUAAAACCUGCAAUAUGGACUCAUCUUUAGAUCAACUUCCAAUUGACACAGAAUACACCUUCAUAUAUUGAUCGAGUAAAAGAAGUUCACUUAUAAUUUAUAACAUGGUUCAUCC
rnacentral:misc_RNA from 1 species